ensembl:lncRNA
CCUCCGCUCUGUCCCAGCCCCCCGUCGGGGAGGGAAAAAUAAUUCAUGAUAGCUGUGAUGUUUUGGUGGGAGAGCGGAGUGGCGGCCCAUCAGUGUGAGUCAUGCGGCUGUCACACCGAGAGAGACGGAGACAUAUAUAAAUAAGGAGAGGGGGGACUGCAUCAAUUUGGAACGAGCAUAAUCAUAAUUCAGGGGUCGGCGGGGAUUAAAAGACACUCAGAGGAACAGUAUUCUUGCGCCUGCUCAUAUCAAGUCAAGGAGGGGAAGCAUCUCCCUUCUCGGGAUUCAUGAAAAGAUUCACAAAACUGAAACUAGAAUCCUCCGUAUCAACCCGAGCUCUCCUUCAUCACUGCCAUCCUCCGUCCCCCCCACACCCACCCAACGCCCCUCCCAGAGUGGACUGACUGCGUUUUGCAUACGGCCAGCAGGUUUUGCAUCUGGGCCACAUCAUUGUCACCUUGCUGAAUUGCAUUACAGAAAGCGAACGGCAGAGAGACAAUCUGCAGGCCGGGGUGACUUUAAUCUGUAGCCACUAAGGGGAGGGAAGCUUCUGCCCCCCCCCCCGUGUGUUAGCCUUCAGACUCCGGUGAACUCGCGCCGUACGGAACAGUCCAGCGUGAGCAGAAUGCUCACAACCACCAGCGCAGAUUAAUCGCAGCUCAAUCUGAUUCUCUGCUAAUGAAGCCGGAGGGCGAAAGUGCACCGUUUCUCAAACUAAUUAGGAGGCGAACUUGCUGUCCUAGUGGAAAUCUUAAGAGACUGUAAUGUUCUGUGAAUCCUUGCUGAGGAAAACUACAGCGCGCGAGUGUGUUUUUCCUCCUGCAAGCUUCUUAAAUCAAGUGGGAUGUUGGCCCAGUUUCGCCGGAAAUCGAGUCGGCGUACGAAUGUGUGGAGACUAUUAUCGUGAUAUCCGUAGGAAAAUGUCUUAUUCUGGAGCCUCACAUUUGAGGCACGGAAAGCUCAAUUGAGGGUUAGAGAUUACCAAUUACUAAAAACCAAAUAUCUAAGUAUGAGGAUUUGUUUGAGGACUGCUGCUUUCAGUUUGCAACACAACAAAAGGUGAAGGAAAUUUUGUUUGCGGUGCUCAAAGCAUUAAAAAUGACAUUUGAAAACGUCGACGGCGGUAAACAUUUCCAGAUUACAUUUUCUGAGCUCCGGGUUCACAGAUACAAAAAAGCCUGUGAGACAAACCUACAUACAUAUUACUAGAAACCGGCCUCUUAUUAUAAAUAUCCGCUAGUUUGGGAAAGUGUUCUGCAGGAUGAGCUGCGCCGAUCGAGGAGGCCGGCUGGGAGCGUGACGGCUCUCAGAGACAUGGCGGCAGUCCAUUUGGUCUUGUUAAUUACUACAGCACCAACUUAACUCACACACUGUAAUUAUGCAGCCUUUUGCGGGGGUUUACUGCUGUAACGCCUGGAAAUACGUAAAGCUGCCUAGUGAGAGAGAGCGAUCCAGCACUAAUAGGUUGCCUUUGGGCAAAGAUGAUGCAAAGGCUUUGUGGGUUCUGCUCGUGCGAUGAGGAGCAAGGACCACCGACGGCCUCGUAAACACGUUGACGGUUACUUUUUCACUCACGCUGGCGCCGCAACACGUGAGUUUGUACUAAGUGAGUUAUUAUGUUAAUGCUCCCGAAGUGUAUUUUAACGGAAUGCCAGUGUUUGCUGCCACGGUAACGGGGGGAGCAUCUCGGAGACAAACACAUCAGCCAAAUCUCGAAUGUACAAACACCCCCGAAACUGUGUGUCGAGCUGAAUGACGAAACCUGAACCCGAACGAAACCGCAUCCGUAGAGGAAAGACGUGUCGGGCAUUCUGAUUCGUUAUAUAAGAAGGGCAAGCAGGGAUAGCAAGUGCACGCACACACACACACACACACACUCAUGCAGACCCCUGAGGCCCGUGUUUGCCUUUCCUGUAAUCUGAGCUUCCGUUCUCUGAAGAAUGAUGUAACUGAACGCCGGCCCUGAACCACGUAGGAGAGCCGGCCAGACACACGGAGCGACUGCUCUUUAUAAAUCUUCACAUCACAUUUACUACUAACUGCAAAAAGGGCUCGCCGGAGGGAGAAGUUGCUUCACGGUGUAGAACUUAGCAGACUUUGCUGCAGUAAACGCGCUCGUUUAUUGGAUCACGUCGCCCUGCAGAUACUUUUACAAGGUCACCAAGAUGUGGCAGUGGACCAAGGCACACACGACUGCUGUAACACUGAAUCCUUGACUGAGAUUGAGUCUUUCAGAGGACACACCAGCCAGAGAAGUGAACUAAUCUGCCAUGUUUUUCUCUCUCUCUCUCUCUCUCUCUCUCCUCCUUAAUCUCCUUUCCAUUUCCUCCCUUCUCCCAACGUGCUCCCCGCUCAGCGGACGUGAGUCACCGCGCCGGUGCUCUGGUGGUAGCGGGAGGCCUCUUCCCGCCUCCUUCGUCUCCAGCAUCACCGGCGGGAAGCUGAGGCGAGAACGUUCAUUUAGCAAACGCUCCUCUAGGGCGCUCUUUUCCCUGCGUCCACCUCUCCGAAACGGCCGUCUCCGAUGUCAAUUAUACACGUGAUUUAAAAGGAGAGUGGCGUCAACAGUCCUCCAAGAACUCUUGCGCCGACCGAGCGGAACAUAUGGCCCACGGCUUAUCCUUUAACGUGUUGCAACACAAGCAUGUUGUGCAAAAGAAAGGGGCUCAUUCUUCCGCCUGCCGGUGAAAUAGGUCAGGGGUUUCUUUACUUUGUAACGUGGCGCUUGAUGCUGAGGGGGUUGCCACACCGGUUUAAAGUGCGCGCGUGUGUCUACGUGUGUGUGCGCGCUCGCGCGCCGGCCUCUGCUUGUUUUCCUCUCCACGUGACCCAUUUGCCGGCGGACCACAGUGUUCCCCGCUCUCUGCUGGGGUUUCCAUGCCAACGCAGCCGGUGGCGAGGCGAGAGAUGAGGAUCCGCUUGUUUGGCCUGUUGCACCUGAUACAUUAUUGUACACAUUGACAUAGAAAGAGAAAACAUGUGGUUUUGCCCUGUACAGUUUUUCUGUGCAAUUCUCACAAGUGGAGAUGUUUUUAAGUGCCAAUAGUUUGGGUCUAAUUAACUGCUACAGCCAUUCUUUUAGCGGUUUCAACCCCUAACGUCUCGUAGCAAACUAAUUCAACUUAUUACCUUUAACUGAGUAUUUUAUUGUUUAUCUAACUAAGCUAAAACUAUUUCUACUUACUUAUGAGUAUAGCUGACUAUCUGUUACUCUGCUUGCUCACUAACUUAUCUGAUGCAGCGUUUAUUGCAACAUGGUGUUUGACAGCGUUACUAUUGAUCCCGCUGCUUCCCCUGGCGAGCUCGUCCUGCAUAGCUGAGACACGGAUGAGUGUUUGAGGUCAGACAUUGACCUCGAGUGGCGGGGGCCGGGGGGGUCAGGAAGGUCCGGUGGUGCCUGCUUGCUGGUGGAGCUGCGCCCACGUGUGACAGAGAACCAGCGGGCAGCUUGUCGUUUAUCGUCACACAACGGCAAUUUAGAGCUUUCUUGUAAUUCUAUUUAACACAAGUAUGUUAAUAAAUGUCAUAAAAUCACAUCAAUUGAUAGUUUGUAAUUGCUUAAAACCAUAAUCAUUUUAAACUUCGACCUUUUUGCACAGUUUUUGCAUAAAAUCCUCUCCGCUCUUCAUACUUAAUGUUGAACACACAGGAUGCUUUAUUCAGUAUUUGAACAAUAUUCUGUUUUUUUUUGGCACAUUGUUUCAACAUCCCGACAAAAAUCAUUCCUCGUAUGUGCAACAGUAAAUGGUUCUGAUUUUAAUUAAAUAUCUGCACCUGCAAAUUACCAGAACAAAGGCAGAGUUCUUGCAGUCUUGUGAAAAGACAAUUAAUAUAGUCCAGGUCUCGUGCAGAAUACAAAACUCUGUGUUGACAACGACCACGAUAUUCAUUAGCUGUUUAUCAAGAUGACAAACCCGACAUCCACAAGAUGCUAAUUUCUCAGCGUGAAAUUAAUACUCAUUGUCAUUCAUAGAGAAAAUGCCCUUUUUAUUUACACCCCUGAUUGUUUGCAGGCUUCCUGUUCUCCAUUUCAUUACAGACGCACACUACAGCUACAGAAUGUGUUUGCUUUUGGGGAAAUUGAUGGUGUGAAGCUACUUUGGUGAAACAACCGUAUUAUUCCUCCCCAAAUGAAAGCACUUUCCCAAGCUCCUGCAUGUCACGAGAGAAGCUGAAUUAAUGCAUUCACACAAACAGCGGUAAGUGUACUUAAUCCCGUCGGUUGAAUGAGUGAAGAAACGCCGCGGAGGCCGAGUUCAGUGAUACCAGAGAAGACCGUUCCACAAAGAGGAAGACGGGAGUGAGGGAGAGAAGGGAAGAGGAGACAAAAGACACAACGAGGGAGGGACACUGAUCGGAUGAACGAGAUCGGGCCGGCGGAGGGGAAGUACUGAGGAACAAACGAGUAAACACAAAAGAGGAGGAGAGCCGGAGAGGAGGGGGACACAGGGGGGGGGCACUGGGAAUGGAGACGGCGAGUUAAGAGGCCUCUUGGAAAGUAAUUUCAUCUCUCAGAAUGUCGGGUAUCUUUUCAUCAAUGAAAAGGGAAAUAUUUUUCCAAAACCAGAAGAGGACAAGGGAGAGAAAAACAGCUCAGUUUGGUGAAAUGGAGACGACGGGCGCCAUUAUCAACUUUAUCAAGCCCCCACGACCGUCUUCCCCCGGGGCGGUCGUGCCGUUCAGUAAGUUGUGGUGACAUUCGCCCAUUCGUCCUGCAGGACGGAGGUCGGUGAAAUCACCACCGUCGCACAGAUUGUCCCCUCGGAUCAGAUGAUUAUCUGAACCAAGCACGCUGACGUCAUAACGUCAUGCGGUCUGCGCUCGCUUUAAUUGACCAAACAAGCCAAAGAGAACCAGCACAUUUCCACAUUAACGGCACUGAGAUUCUGCUGCAGUUUUUGUGAAUCAUUGGUUUCCCCUCUCAUGUCCUCAUGUAGCAAUUGAGGUUUUUUGGGGGGUUCCAGGGACAUUUUGGACGCUCUGAAUGUGGCGUGGCGCCCGGCCAGCCAGAAAAGGGGGAACGGAGCAACGGGGGAAUGAAGUUAAAUUGAAGCGUCAGGAGAGCAGACGAAUAUUUGACUUCUGCCCCGUUUCCAACCUCACAAAAACACGGACGGAGAAGCUUGUUUGUUUACCAGAACGACUAAAACCCCCCCUGCAAAUAUGCAUGAAAUCAAUAAAGUGCAUCCCGGGGUCAACGUAGGAACUUAAAAGACAAAAAGUAGGCCUACUGAUUCCUUUUGAUGAGAAAUGUUCUCUGUUGGACCAGAGAAGGACGCCGCGAGGGUCUGGCAUCGCCUGCGUGGUUCUAUGAGCGAGCACAAAGCGAACGCCACGGUUCUUCUUCUGUAUCCCGCCGUGUCGCUGUGUUUACCAUCGCUGGUUCGUCUGCUGCGAUCACGAGUCAGCCGAGGAGAGGUCCCGCGGGGACACACGCCGACGGACUGACCCGGCGCCGGCCCUCCUCGCCGCAUCCAGAUCAAAGUUCCGGGACACACAACCGUCGACCACAAAAAACUCCAGAAUCCAGUGUGUGUGUGUGUGUGUGUGUGCGUUUGCUCCGCAGCCUCGAAUUAAAAACCCGGCCUCGGGUCGAAGCGUUGUUUUCCCCUCACACAGCGUUUGCCUUUUCUUAGCUCGUCUUCAUCGCUGACAACGCGACGGUGCGUCAGCGGGGUCGCCUGGAGCGCGGCACACUGAGGGGGGGGCGGUGGGGGGGUCACACACACGGCCCCGCAGGCAUUUGGGAAAAGUCAACCAGCCGGUACCACCGCUGAGAGGAGAUCAAAUCGGCCACGUUUUCUCAAAUGGCCGUUUGACCUUUUGUUAUUCCAGUGGCCUCGUGUCCGUUCCUCCGCCGUGACGGCACCGACCUCAAACUGGGGCUGGCUGAACUUUUUAUAUGUUGCAGUAGAGCAUGCAUGUGACCCGGCUGGUCAUAAGUGCAGUGACGAAUGAAGCUGAUAUUUUAUCUUUUUUUUUUUUUUUCGUUUCUGUGAGCCAGACCUUUGUGGAACACAGAGUCCUUUAUUCAAAUAUGGGGGCGAAAAGCUUUUGGGCUUGUCAGCCUGGAGCAAAUAGUGUUUUCAUUCCUCUAAUUUCAUGUCUAAUGUUUUGCAUUAUUGGCAAUAUAAUGAGAAUCAAUUCGUUUCACUAGUCAAAUUCAUUUGCAUAUAAUUCAGUACGCCAAUAAACUCUAGGCUUAUUUUCAUGGUAAGGUUGGAAUCAUAUCAAUAUCUAUGCAAAUACUUGAUGAUUCUCAUGAGCACACACGUUACAGAUCAUUACAUACGCAGAUGUUGUGUCUUUAAAUAUUAAGUUCAACCAGCAGGGACCAUUUUUAUGCAAAGUGUAAUCGUUAAAACAUGGCAUCGUGUGUGUACAGUCCCAGGCAAAUGUUUGGACACAUUUUCUCUUUUAAUUUAAUGACAAAGUGUGUCCAAAUCUUUGACUGGUACUGUGCGUGUGUGUGUGUGUGUGCGUGUGUGUGUGUGUGCAGAGGAGCACUGUAAUAAAAGCCAGGCGAACACAGUGUUCCAGGUCAGAGCCGAAGUCUGCAGAGCUUUCGGCUCGGAGAGCAGCAUGAGUCACCGGAAGAGAGCAGAUUGCUAGCUUGCAGAAUUCAUUAAGACAAAUGUAAGGUAUAUGGAUUUCCUCUGGAAGAAGAAAAGCUUGGCUGCUGCAGAACGGCACCCUGGUGAAUCCUCAAGUAGCUUUCCAUACACCUUUGGGACGACAGCAUACUUUUGCAACUAUGCGGAUGAUUUUUACUAGUCUAAAUGUAAAAUAAUAAGCUUAAAUCCUUUGGUGCGUUGGCCUUUUUUCUCUUUAUAAUUUCUGAAAGCACUCGUAAUGCAAAUUCAACACACCGGUUAGUUACUUAAGCACUACUUUUUAAAUGGCUGGUUUCAUACAUAAUGACUACUAAUUCUGUCAUAAAAAUGCAGGAUAAAAUGCUGAUUUUGGAUGUUAAAGAUGCAGGUUAAUCUUUUUAAAAUCAACUGGCUGUGUACGGCGCGUGGACCCCACUGUGCGGUGGCGCCCCCAUGCGGGCGUGAGGCUGUAUUACACACAUUGAGUUACGGUAACGCCAUUACAUUUGUAAAUCACUAUUUCGAUAAUAAUCACAAAAAUGCGGCGAUGGCUUUAUAACUUACCCUGCUUAACGACUUCCGAACACAACUUUAGGGUCUUCCUCUUAGC